ACAAAUCUGAAGAGGCAGAAUAGUAAGCUUAUUGGAUGCUGUUCAGAAAGUUGGCGGCUGUUGCGAGCCAAUCUGCACGAUAGCUGAACUCGCUGCUCAGGAGCGGCCGUGAAAUUUUUUGUAAUGGUCGACGCAAGCCAGCGUUAUAGGUGAAGAGUGGAUGACAACUGUCAUCAAACAGGGUGGUACCGCGAGAAACCUCGUCCCUGGC
rnacentral:ncRNA from 1 species